CCUACGGGUGGCAGCAGUGAGGAAUAUUGGUCAAUGGACGCAAGUCUGAACCAGCCAUGCCGCGUGCAGGAUGACGGCUCUAUGAGUUGUAAACUGCUUUUGUACGAGGAUAAACGCAGAUACGCGUAUCUGUCUGCAGGUAUCGUACGAAUAAGGAUCGGCUAACUCCGUGCCAGCAGCCGCGGUAAUACGGAGGAUUCAAGCGUUAUCCGGAUUUAUUGGGUUUAAAGGGUGCGUAGGCGGGCGGAUAAGUUAGAGGUGAAAUCCCGAGGCUCAACUUCGGAAGUGCCGCGGAUACUGGUCGGCUAGAGAGUAGUUGCGGUAGGCGGAAUUGAUGGUGUAGCGGUGAAAUGCUUAGAGAUCAUACAGAACACCGAUUGCGAAGGCAGCUUACCAAGCUACUUCUGACGUUGAGGCACGAAAGCGUGGGUAGCAAACAGGAUUAGAUACCCUUGUAGUC
rnacentral:rRNA from 1 species